rnacentral:rRNA from 1 species
AGUGAACGCUGGCGGUAGGCCUAACACAUGCAAGUCGAACGGCAGCACAGUAAGAGCUUGCUCUUACGGGUGGCGAGUGGCGGACGGGUGAGGAAUACAUCGGAAUCUACUUUUUCGUGGGGGAUAACGUAGGGAAACUUACGCUAAUACCGCAUACGACCUACGGGUGAAAGCAGGGGAUCUUCGGACCUUGCGCGAUUGAAUGAGCCGAUGUCGGAUUAGCUAGUUGGCGGGGUAAAGGCCCACCAAGGCGACGAUCCGUAGCUGGUCUGAGAGGAUGAUCCGCCACAGUGGAACUGAGACACGGUCCAGACCCCUACGGGAGGCAGCAGGGGGGAAUAUUGGAAAAGGGGCGCAAGCCUGAUCCAGCCAUACCGCGUGGGUGAAGAAGGCCUUCGGGUUGUAAAGCCCUUUUGUUGGGAAAGAAAAGCAGCAGGUUAAUACCCCGCUGUUCUGACGGUACCAAAAGAAUAAGCACCGGCUAACUUCGU